ensembl:ncRNA Y8G1A.3 ncRNA
UAAAACUUCUUCUUAUCAGCUCCGAAAAUAUCCUGAUUCAACCCGGCCAACGUUUGAUAAUUGGGGUCGUGAGUCGCAGCUUUUGCACCGACUUGAGCAGAAGCACGUGGAGGUCCACCACCACCGCCACCACCUCCACCUUUC